GACAGGAUGGCCGAGUGGUUUAAGGCGACAGUUUUGAAUUGGUCCUCAUGUCCAGAGAUUCCCCUCUCAACAAGACAGGCUACUACAUUCCAGCUGUUUCACUAUGUGAGCGUGAGUUCAAACCUCACUCCUGUCG
rfam:Puccinia graminis f. sp. tritici CRL 75-36-700-3 supercont2.28 genomic scaffold, whole genome shotgun sequence.